GUUGUAGAAGCUGGAGUGGC
rnacentral:miRNA from 1 species